GAUGAACGCUAGCGGCAGGCCUAAUACAUGCAAGCUGAACGGUAAAUGUUGUAGCAAUACAAUAUGAGAGUAGCGUAAGGGUGCGUAACACGUAUGCAAUCUACGCGCAACAGGAGGAUAGCUCCCCGAAAGGGGAAUUAAUACUCCAUAAGAGCACGCGAAGGCAUCUGAUUGUGAGUAAACUCCAAGGGGUUGCGGAUGAGCAUGCGCAUGAUUAGUUAGUUGGCGGGGUAACGGCCCACCAAGACGAUGAUCAUUGGGGGAACUGAGAGGUUGAUCCCCCACACUGGCACUGAGAUACGGGCCAGACUCCUACGGGAGGCAGCAGUAGGGAAUAUUGGUCAAUGGGUGAAAGCCUGAACCAGCCAUGCCGCGUGCAGGAAGAAAGCCUUCUGGGUUGUAAACUGCUUUUAUCUGGGGAUAAAAUACCCGUGCGCGGGGAAUUGAAGGUACCAGAUGAAUAAGCCACGGCUAACUACGUGCCAGCAGCCGCCGUAAUAC
rnacentral:rRNA from 1 species